GAUGAACGCUGGCGGCGUGCCUAAUACAUGCAAGUCGAGCGAACGGACGAGAAGCUUGCUUCUCUGAUGUUAGCGGCGGGGGGGUGAGUAACACGUGGAUAACCUACCUAUCAGACUGGGAUAACUUCGGGAAACCGGAGCUAAUCCCGGAUAAUAUUUUGAACCGCAUGGUUCAAAAGUGAAAGACGGUCUUGCUGUCACUUAUAGAUGGAUCCGGGCUGCAUUAGGUAGUUGUUAAGGUAACGGAUUACCAAGGCAACGAUGCAUAGCCGACCUGAGAGGGGGAUCGGCCACCCUGGAACUGAGACACGGUCAAGACUCCUACGGGAGGCAGCAGUAGGGAAUCUUCCGCAAUGGGCGAAAGCCUGACGGAGCAACGCCGCGUGAGUGAUGAAGGCCUUCGGAUCGUAAAACUCUGUUAUUAGGGAAGAACAUAUGUGUAAGUAACUGUGCACAUCUUGACGGUACCUAAUCAGAAAGCCACGGCUAACUACGUG
rnacentral:rRNA from 1 species